rnacentral:lncRNA from 1 species
AUGCUGAGCAAAGUGCAAGUGUCAGGAAGGUGCAGGCGCAGGGCACUCAGCUCAGGGCCUGGUGUGACAGGGCUGUGUUCAGUAAACGCCAGUGUGCAAUUACAGAAGGCACACUCACAUACACAGACACCCCACCACACUCAAUCCACACACACACACCACACCACACACAGACACUCCCACCACACUCAAUCCACACACACUCACACACUCACACACAGACACUCCUACCACACUCAAUCCACACACACUCACACACAGACACUCCCACCACACUCAAUCCACACACACACAAACACACCACAUAACACAAACAUACUCACCCACCACACUCGCCCCCACUCUCACACACACACACAGACACUCCCACCACACUCUACCCACACCACACACACACACACCACAACACAACACAAACAUACGAACCCACCACACACGCCACACUCACAGACACUCCCACCACACUACCACACAUCACACAUACACACACACACCACACAACACAAACAUACACACCACACUCACCCCCACCUUCACACACACAGACACUCCCACCACACUACCCACACCACACACACACACACCACAACACAAACAUACGAACCCACCACACACUCCACACACACAGUCACACUCACAGACACUCCCACCACACUCUACCCACACACCACAUACACACACAAACACACCACACAACACAUACACAUCCACCACACCCCCCCCACAGCCACACUCACACACUCCCAUCACACUUCCUACCCACACAAUUACAUACCACAUACCACACACACAACACAAACAUACAUAUCCACCACACUCACCCCCACCCUCAUACACACACAGACACUCCCACCACACUCUACCCACAUCACACACACACACACACCACAAAACACAUACAUACACACCCACCACAUACUCCACACACAUAGCCACACUCACACACUCCCACCACACUCUACCCACACACCACAUACACACACAAACACACCACACAACACAUACACACCCACCACACACUCCACACACACACACUCACACACACACAGAAACUCCCAACACACUCUACCCACACAUAUACACAUACACCACAUACACACCACACACACAACACAAAUAUACACACCCAAUACACACCCCACACUCACACACACAGACAUUCCCACCACACUCUACCCACACAUACACACACUCCCAACACACUAG